rnacentral:rRNA from 1 species
AGCGAACGCUGGCGGCAGGCUUAACACAUGCAAGUCGAGCGGGCAUCCUUGUGGUGUCAGCGGCAGACGGGUGAGUAACGCGUGGGAACGUGCCCUUGGGUUCGGAAUAACUCAGGGAAACUUGAGCUAAUACCGGAUACGUGCGAGAGCAGAAAGGUUUAUCUGCCGAAGGAUCGGCCCGCGUCUGAUUAGCUAGUUGGUGAGGUUAUGGCUCACCAAGGCGACGAUCAGUAGCUGGUCUGAGAGGAUGAUCAGCCACACUGGGACUGAGACACGGCCCAGACUCCUACGGGAGGCAGCAGUGGGGAAUAUUGGACAAUGGGGGCAACCCUGAUCCAGCCAUGCCGCGUGAGUGAUGACGGCCUUAGGGUUGUAAAGCUCUUUUCUCCGGGACGAUAAUGACGGUACCGGAGGAAUAAGCCCCGGCUAACUUCGUG